rnacentral:misc_RNA from 1 species
GGAAGUAAAAGUCGUAACAGGGUCUCCGUUGGUGAACCAGCGGAGGGAUCAUUACAGAGUUUACAACUCCCAAACCCAAAUGUGAACAUACCAAUCGUUGCUUCGGCGGACUCGUCCCGGUGUCCGGGUGGCCUUGUGCUGCCCGCGGCCCGGAUCCAGGCGGCCGCCGGAGAUCAUCAAACUCUUUGUAUUACCAGUAUCUUCUGAAUCCGCCGCAAGGCAAAACAGAUGAAUCAAAACUUUCAACAACGGAUCUCUUGGUUCUG